rnacentral:rRNA from 1 species
AGACGUCUACAUUAGAUACCCGCGUAGUCCCAGCCGUAAACUGUGCGCGUUAGGUGUAUCGGUGACCACGAGUCACCGAGGUGCCGAAGGGAAACCGUGAAACGUGCCGCCUGGGAAGUACGGUCGCAAGGCUGAAACUUAAAGGAAUUGGCGGGGAGCACCACAACGGGUGGAGCCUGCGGUUUAAUUGGACUCAACGCCGGGAAGCUCACCGGAUAAGACAGCGGAAUGAUUGCCGGGCUGAAGACUCUGCAUGACUAGCUG